GCAUUAACCCUGUUGUCUUAGAUAGUUUAUUACAAAACAUUUAAGGCACGCGGUGAAUGCCA
rnacentral:pre_miRNA from 1 species